UGUGCAUGUGGUUUUGUUUCUUCAUCGGCUGCCCCUGCUGCUGUGCUCGUUCGUUGCUUCUGCCAGAGUGGCAACGUCGCCUGAAAUUUUCUAUCGUUGUUAGUGAAUAACUUCGAUACGUAGGGAUAUCACGAUGCAGGAAGCGAACAAAGCUGCUUUUAGAAGAGUUCCCCACUCCACUGGCAAGCGAGGGGAUUGCUGCGUUGGAAUCUCGCGCAGCUCCACCACUGUUGACUUUGAAAGAAGGGGUGGCCUUGAUUUGGAUCGCACGGCGUGAAGAUGACUCGGCCGGAACAGUCAUUUUGAAUUGCAGAGAUUCGCCAGACCGUCGCUGCGGUAGAUGCGAGCUGCUGUAGCCUGCUUUCUCGGAUGAGAGACGGGGUGAAUUAGAUUCCAGUUAAUUAAGUGUCAACGAGACGAGAGAGCGUUGCAUUACUUCCGACCGAUGCCCAAAAUAUCCUGCGUUUAAACGGCUCUGCAAAUCCACGCAUUCCUCUCGAACAUGAGUUGUACAAUGGGUUCCAAAUGCUAUUCAAUUCAGCCGGCUACUCCUUCAUCAAUCUAAAUUUGAUAAUCCUUGAGCACGGACAUGCUAUUGUCGAAAGUUUUCACAUGUCUACGCAAGGGUUCAGCUCGAUCAAAGCGAACUUGCCAGAUUUGCUUCACACUCCAGCAGAAGGCACAACAAUGGCGUGUGCACCCCCUCUCCUUAGAGUAGAGAUGAACCUCUUGGAGCUAACCAUGAUGAAGCUCGACUGUCAGCCAAAACCAGAAAAAUAUCGCAGGUCCGUUGCUAACUCAUCAGAUGAUGAGCAGGAAAGACUCGAGAUAACACCGGAGAACUUCCGCUUGUCCUCAACUCUGCUAAUCGGAUGUAACCAUACUAGUGAAGGAGGUGCCACAACCGAAGGUUUCGGAGAGAAGUUGGGCGUAACCGUCAACGGAUUCCCUGCUUCUACGAAAGUCCUACCAACGGGAACUUCGUCACUCUUCCGUCGAGAUUCGUUAUAGGAUCGGACAACGAACGAGAAGACUUUUUUCGUUCGCUUUUCGAUGCAAGCAGCUCCACAGAAGUCCCCAUUUCUCAGUUGGUGGGAUUGCUUAAACAUUUACGCAUGUGUGUAUAUAUAUUGGUAAUUGUGGGUGAAUUAUUGCUGUUAAAAACUAUGCUAGCUUUUUUACACUUUUAAUACAUUUCUAGUCCUUAUAACCUUAUUUUCUGAAUUAUUUAUUUGUCUUCUAAUAUUUUAACACGAGAAUUUA